GCCUCCUUAGUGCAGUAGGCAGUGCAUCAGUCUCAUAAUCUGAGGGUCCUGAGUUCAAACCUCAGAGGAGACA